UAUCGCCCACUGAUUUUCACACUCGCUGCAUUUCCUCCCGUCUUCCUUAUCCCUUCGCCAGCUACCUCCACUGCUACGGAGUGAGCAUGAGCUGAAUCGCCGCAAUAUCCAUCCAUGGCUCCGCCCUGAAGACGAGUCAGUUUCGCAAGCCGGUUUAGUCAGCUCUCGUCAACGCUGCUGCCUUCUCGACUCCACUGCAGAUCUCACACGCUUUGCGCUCGCGCGGGCUCCCGUCAGACUUGAUCACACUGGUCGUUCGUUCGGGACGUACCCUGCUGUCCUGCUCUAUAGGCCACGAUCUGUUAGUCUCCAAAAGAUCAAAUGGCCGAGGCGGUACUCAUUGUUGUCACAAAGAUUGGUGACAUUUUACUAGAAGAAGCCACCAAAAGUGUCAUAGCUAAGAUUUCUGAAAAGGUUACUAAUCUGAAGGAAUUGCCAGUAAAAGUUGAGGAAAUAAAGAAGCAACUGACCAUGAUGGGCAAUGUUAUAAGGCAGAUAGGCACGGUAUACCUUGCAGACGACGUUGUCAAGACUUGGAUUGGGGUUGUUCGCAAGGUGGCCUAUCAUGUUGAAGAUGUAAUAGAUAAAUACUCAUAUCACCUUCUUCAACUUCAAGAAGAAGGGUUCCUGAAGAAAUUCUUCAUCAAAGGAACACAUUAUGUCAAAGUUUUCAGUGAAAUUACGGAUGAGAUAGUUGAGGUAGAGAACGAGAUUCAACUAGUUAUAAAGAUGAAAGAUCAGUGGUUGCAUCCCUUCCAGCUUGCCGCUAACCCACUUACUGAGAUGGAAAGGCAGCGGUCCCAGGACAGCUUCCCAGAAUUUGUCAAAGAUGGAGAUCUAGUAGGGAUUGAAAAGAACAGGAUAUGGCUAACUAGAUGGCUGUACUCCGAAGAGCCAGAGACGGAGACAGAGAACACCGUGAUAACAGUAUCUGGCAUGGGUGGUUUGGGAAAAUCUACCCUUGUUUCAAAUGUUUAUGAACGUGAAAAGAUCAACUUCCCUGCACAUGCAUGGAUUGUUGUGUCACAAGUCUACACUGUUGAUGCCCUGUUGAGGAAGCUACUAUGGAAGAUUGGAUACACCGAACAACCAUUAUCAGCAGGUAUUGACAAAAUGGAUGUGCAUGACUUGAAGAAGGAAAUACAACAGAGACUUAAAAACAGAAAAUAUUUGAUUGUGCUGGAUGAUGUCUGGGAGCAAGAUGUAUACUUCCAGAUACAUGAUGCUCUCCAGGAUCUCCCAGGCAGUCGGAUCAUCAUUACGACACGGAAGGAUCAUGUUGCCGGAAUUUCUUCUCCCACCCGUCACCUUGAGCUCGAGCCAUUGAGCAAGUCUGAUGCAUUUGACCUCUUCUGCAGAAGGGCUUUUUACAACCAGAAGGGGCACAUAUGCCCCAAGGAUUUUGAGACGAUAGCUACUUCUAUAGUUGACAGGUGCCAUGGCCUACCUCUAGCAAUUGUUACCAUUGGUGGCAUGUUGUCUUCAAGACAACGUUUAGACAUUUGGACUCAAAAAUACAAUCAACUUCGAAGCGAGUUGUCAAACAAUGACCAUGUCCGAGCAAUUUUCAAUCUGAGCUACCAUGACCUUCCAGACGACCUCAAAAACUGUUUUUUGUACUGCAGUCUAUUCCCUGAAGACUACCAGAUGUCACGUGAAAGCCUUGUGCGACUGUGGGUUGCUGAAGGCUUUGUGGUAAGAAAAGAAAAGAACACACCAGAGAUGGUAGCUGAGGGAAAUCUCAUGGAAUUGAUCCACCGCAAUAUGCUUGAGGUUGUGGAGAAUGAUGAGCUUGGUAGGGUCAACACCUGUAAGAUGCAUGAUAUUGUGCGUGAAUUAGCUAUUAUUGUUGCCAAAGAAGAGAGAUUUGCUUCAGCAGAUGAUUAUGCCUCAAUGAUAUUGGUACAGCAGGAUAAGGAUGUUCGUCGUCUGUCAUCAUAUGGAUGGAAAAAUGACAAUGUAGUGAAAGUUAAACUUCCGCAUCUUCGAACAGUACUCUUACUUGAAGCGAUUUCACCCUGCUCUGGCAUAUUGCCGUCUAUUUUGUCUGAAUCCAACUACCUUGCUGUUCUUGAGCUGCAAGACUCUGAAGUCACUGAAGUGCCAACAUCAAUAGGGUCUAUGUUCAAUCUACGUUACAUCGGGUUACGGCGCACUAAGGUCAGGUCACUUCCGGACUCUAUCGAAAAUUUGUCUAACCUUCACACUCUGGACAUCAAGCAAACCAAAAUAGAGAAGCUACCACGAGGGGUUGUGAAGAUCAAGAAGUUGCGGCACCUUUUAGCUGAUAGAUAUGCUGAUGAGAAGCAGACAGAGUUCCGGUACUUCAUUGGAGUACAAGCACCUAAAGAGCUGUCCAACUUGGAAGAACUGCAAACUCUCGAGACUGUGGAGUCCAGCUCUGAUUUGGCAGAGCAGCUGAAAAAACUGAUGCAACUACAAAGUGUGUGGAUUGAUAACAUUAGUGCUGAUGACUGUGCAAAUCUGUUUGCUACCCUGUCAACUAUGCCACUUCUUUCAAGCUUGCUUCUUUCUGCAAGGGAUGCGAAUGAGGCGCUUUGCUUCGAGUCUCUCAAACCAAGUUCUAGCUAUCUGCACAGGUUGAUUACCAGAGGACAAUGGGCCAAGGGAACACUAAAUAGCCCGAUCUUUCUCAGCCAUGGGAAAAACCUCAAGUAUCUAGCUAUAAGCUGGUGUCACCUUGGGGAAGAUCCAUUGGGGAUGAUGGCACCUCACAUGCCGAACCUCACAUAUCUGAGACUAAACAACAUGCACAGUGUAAAAACUUUGGUUCUGUCUAAAGACUCCUUUCCCAACCUGAAGACGCUUGUCUUAAGGCACAUGCAUGAUGUUAGUGAGCUAAAAAUCAUUGAUGGCGCUCUUCCCUGCAUUGAUGGUUUGUACAUUGUAUCGCUGUUGAAGCUCGAUAAAGUCCCUCAAGGCAUUGAAUUCCUUCGCUCCCUUAAGAAGCUCUGGCUGCUGAACUUGCACAAGGAUUUCAGAACUCAAUGGGACACUAAAGGAAUGCAUCAGAAGAUACUACAUGUUCCAGAGGUUCGUGUCUAGACGCGGCAAGUCGGUUCUUUCUGCAGUGUAUUCUUGUAUGCUGCUUCCAGUGCAACUGUAUCAUACUUUCAACCAUUCCAAUAAGUUUGCCUCGACAUCGCCAACAGCAUUUGGUCGGUACUUCUAUGCUGUAACAAAUUUAUCCCUCAAAGAUUGGUUGGUGUCCAUUGCCUUCCAGAGGCCUCUGUACCGUCUUUUUUUGCGGGGUAGCACUUUUGUGCAUUUCACAGGUAUUUAGGUCUGCCAAUUCCAACGGGGCUAAGAGCAACUCUAGCAGACGGAAAAAUGUCUUUGCGGGCCGGCGCGCACGGCCGCGGAUGCAGACCCUGCAUAAUGGACCCGCCACCGCAACGGCGAGGGGGAAACCCGUGAAUACGCGGGUUGGGGCCGAGAUUUUGCUACGCCCCGCAAAAAUAUUUGCGGGCCGCGGCGGGAUGCGGAGUCUGAUCGGGCAGGUUUUUCCGUCCUGAUCCGCAUUUUGGCAGUUAUUUUUCGGGUCGGGGCAGGAUGCGGGGUCUGCUAGAGUUGCUCUAAACUAGUACUCGGUAUCAUCUUGGUUCGUCUGGUAUGCUGUGUGAUACACAAGGAAAAAGAACGCAAAUUACAUACCUUUUAUGAAUAUAUGCUUUACGUUCAGAAAUGGAGCUGAA